rnacentral:rRNA from 1 species
CAAUAGCGUAUAUUAAAGUUGUUGCGGUUAAAAAGCUCGUAGUUGGAUCUGCGGCCUUGGAGAUCGGUCCCCCACAGGGUGUGAACUGAUUUUCCAGGCCUACCUUGUCGGUUUUCCUCUGGUGCUCUUCAUUGGGUGCCUUUGGUGGCCGACACGUUUACUUUGAAAAAAUUAGAGUGCUCAAAGCAAGCUGACGCUUGAAUACUAGUGCAUGGAAUAAUGGAAUAAGGCCUGUGCUUUAUUUUGUUGGUUUUCGAAGCAGAGGUAAUGAUUAAGAGGAACAGACGGGGGCAUUCGUACUGCUACGUUAGAGGUGAAAUUCUUGGAUCGUAGCAUGACGAACAACUGCGAAAGCAUUUGCCAAGAAUGUUUUCAUUAAUCAAGAACGAUAGUUAGAGGUU